UACGUAGGUGGCAAGCGUUGUCCGGAUUUACUGGGUGUAAAGGGCGUGUAGGCGGGAUAGCAAGUCAGAUGUGAAAUUCCGGGGCUUAACCCCGGCGCUGCAUCUGAAACUGUUAUUCUUGGGUGUCGGAGAGGAAAGUGGAAUUCCCAGUGUAGCGGUGAAAUGCGUAGAGAUUGGGAGGAACACCAGUGGCGAAGGCGGCUUUCUGGACGAUAACUGACGCUGAGGCGCGAAAGCGUGGGGAGCAAACAGG
rnacentral:rRNA from 1 species